AUUGAACGCUGGCGGCAGGCCUAACACAUGCAAGUCGAGCGGUAGCACAGAGAGCUUGCUCUCGGGUGACGAGCGGCGGACGGGUGAGUAAUGUCUGGGAAACUGCCUGAUGGAGGGGGAUAACUACUGGAAACGGUAGCUAAUACCGCAUAACGUCGCAAGACCAAAGUGGGGGACCUUCGGGCCUCAUGCCAUCAGAUGUGCCCAGAUGGGAUUAGCUGGUAGGUGGGGUAACGGCUCACCUAGGCGACGAUCCCUAGCUGGUCUGAGAGGAUGACCAGCCACACUGGAACUGAGACACGGUCCAGACUCCUACGGGAGGCAGCAGUGGGGAAUAUUGCACAAUGGGCGCAAGCCUGAUGCAGCCAUGCCGCGUGUGUGAAGAAGGCCUUCGGGUUGUAAAGCACUUUCAGCGGGGAGGAAGGCGUUGAGGUUAAUAACCUCAUCGAUUGACGUUACCCGCAGAAGAAGCACCGGCUAACUCCGUGCCAGCAGCCGCGGUAAUACGGAGGGUGCAAGCGUUAAUCGGAAUUACUGGGCGUAAAGCGCACGCAGGCGGUCUGUCAAGUCGGAUGUGAAAUCCCCGGGCUCAACCUGGGAACUGCAUUCGAAACUGGCAGGCUAGAGUCUUGUAGAGGGGGGUAGAAUUCCAGGUGUAGCGGUGAAAUGCGUAGAGAUCUGGAGGAAUACCGGUGGCGAAGGCGGCCCCCUGGACAAAGACUGACGCUCAGGUGCGAAAGCGUGGGGAGCAAACAGGAUUAGAUACCCUGGUAGUCCACGCUGUAAACGAUGUCGAUUUGGAGGUUGUGCCCUUGAGGCGUGGCUUCCGGAGCUAACGCGUUAAAUCGACCGCCUGGGGAGUACGGCCGCAAGGUUAAAACUCAAAUGAAUUGACGGGGGCCCGCACAAGCGGUGGAGCAUGUGGUUUAAUUCGAUGCAACGCGAAGAACCUUACCUGGUCUUGACAUCCACAGAACUUUCCAGAGAUGGAUUGGUGCCUUCGGGAACUGUGAGACAGGUGCUGCAUGGCUGUCGUCAGCUCGUGUUGUGAAAUGUUGGGUUAAGUCCCGCAACGAGCGCAACCCUUAUCCUUUGUUGCCAGCGGUCCGGCCGGGAACUCAAAGGAGACUGCCAGUGAUAAACUGGAGGAAGGUGGGGAUGACGUCAAGUCAUCAUGGCCCUUACGACCAGGGCUACACACGUGCUACAAUGGCAUAUACAAAGAGAAGCGACCUCGCGAGAGCAAGCGGACCUCAUAAAGUAUGUCGUAGUCCGGAUUGGAGUCUGCAACUCGACUCCAUGAAGUCGGAAUCGCUAGUAAUCGUAGAUCAGAAUGCUACGGUGAAUACGUUCCCGGGCCUUGUACACACCGCCCGUCACACCAUGGGAGUGGGUUGCAAAAGAAGUAGGUAGCUUAACCUUCGGGAGGGCGCUUACCACUUUGUGAUUCAUGACUGGGGUG
rnacentral:rRNA from 1 species